AGAGUUUGAUCAUGGCUCAGGACGAACGCUGGCGGCGUGCUUAACACAUGCAAGUCGAACGGGAGUACUUUGAAAGCUUGCUGAUGAGUACUUUAGUGGCGGACGGGUGAGUAACGCGUGAGGAGCUGUCCUAUGCAGGGGGACAACAGUUGGAAACGGCUGCUAAUACCCCAUAAGCCGAGAGGUAAAAGGAGUAAUCCGGCAGAGGAGGCACUCGCGUCCUAUCAGCUAGUAGGUUGGGUAACGGCCGACCUAGGCGAAGACGGGUAGCCGGCCUGAGAGGGCGAACGGCCACACUGGAACUGAGAUACGGUCCAGACUCCUACGGGAGGCAGCAGUGGGGAAUAUUGGGCAAUGGGGGGCAACCCUGACCCAGCCACGCGACGCCGCGUGGGUGAAGAAAUCCUUCGGGAUGUAAAGCCCUGUUGUAUGGGAAGAGCAGAAGACGGUACCAUACGAGGAAGCCCCGGCAAACUACGUGCCAGCAGCCGCGGUAAUACGUAGGGGGGCGAGCGUUGUCCGGAAUUACUGGGGCGUAAAGCGCACGCAGGCCGAAUUAUAAGUCGGUAGUCAAAGGCGGAGGCUCAACCUUCGUUUAUCUAUCGAAACUGUAAAUCUAGAGUAUGUGAGAGGGAAGUGGAAUUCCCGGUGUAGCGGUGAAAUGCGUAGAUAUCGGGAGGAACACCAGUGGCGAAGGCGACUUCCUGGCACAAUACUGACGCUCAUGUGCGAAAGCUAGGGUAGCGAACGGGAUUAGAUACCCCGGUAGUCCUAGCCGUAAACGAUGGAUACUAGGUGUGGGUGUCGCAGGGCAUCCGUGCCGCAGCUAACGCGUUAUGUAUCCCGCCUGGGGAAUACGGUCGCAAGACUGA
rnacentral:rRNA from 1 species